GCCCGCACACAGCUGUGACACUUCCUGCUAUAUUGUGUUCCUGCUUCAGUCAGCCUGAACACGAUAUAGUUCAUAUCAGAGACUCUUUUCAUGACAUCAAAGCACAAGUUUUUCUUCUACCUGAACUGACCGUGAGCUCACCUGUGAUCACAGAGACAGAAUCAGUCACACUGAACUGUCAGACUCCAUCAUCUGUUUCUGUGUCUCAGUGUGAUUUCUACAUCGCAAA